rnacentral:rRNA from 1 species
AUGAAGUGGCGCCAAGCUUCUGGCAUUCUCUGUGACAAGAGAGUGCCACAAAAGCUAAAAGGCAAGUUCUAUAGGACGGCGGUUCGACCCGCAACGUUGUAUGGCGCGGAGUGUUGGCCGACUAAAAGGCGACAUGUUCAACAGUUAGGUGUGGCGGAGAUGCGUAUGUUGAGAUGGAUGUGUGGCCACACGAGGAAGGAUCGAGUCCGGAAUGAUGAUAUACGAGAUAGAGUUGGGGUAGCACCAAUUGAGGAGAAGCUUGUCCAACAUCGUUUGAGAUGGUUUGGGCAUAUUCAGCGCAGGCCUCUAGAAGCUCCAGUGCAUAGCGGACGGCUAAAGCGUGCGGAGAAUGUCAAGAGAGGGCGGGGUCGACCGAUUUUG